UACGAAGGGGGCUAGCGUUGCUCGGAAUCACUGGGCGUAAAGGGUGCGUAGGCGGGUCUUUAAGUCGGGGGUGAAAUCCUGGAGCUCAACUCCAGAACUGCCUUUGAUACUGAAGAUCUUGAGUCCGGGAGAGGUGAGUGGAACUGCGAGUGUAGAGGUGAAAUUCGUAGAUAUUCGCAAGAACACCAGUGGCGAAGGCGGCUCACUGGCCCGGUACUGACGCUGAGGCACGAAAGCGUGGGGAGCAAACAGG
rnacentral:rRNA from 1 species